CUACGGGUGGCUGCAGUGAGGAAUAUUGGUCAAUGGCCGCAAGGCUGAACCAGCCAUGUCGCGUGAAGGACGACGGCCCUAUGGGUUGUAAACUUCUUUUGUAUGGGAAGAAAAGUAGGCACGAGUGCUUAUCUGCCGGUACCAUACGAAUAAGGAUCGGCUAACUCCGUGCCAGCAGCCGCGGUAAUACGGAGGAUCCGAGCGUUAUCCGGGUUAUUGGGUUUAAAGGGUGCGUAGGCGGCUCUAUAAGUCAGUAGUGAAAUCUCGUGGCUCAACCAUGAACGUGCUAUUGAAACUGUAGAGCUUGAGUACAGACGAGGCAGGCGGAAUGUGUUAUGUAGCGGUGAAAUGUAUAGAUAUAACACAGAACACCGAUAGCGAAGGCAGCUUGCCAGACUGUAACUGACGCUGAUGCACGAAAGCGUGGGUAGCGAACAGGAUUAGAUACCCGGGUAGUC
rnacentral:rRNA from 1 species